GGUGCGACCUCAGCUCGCUGCAACCUCCACCUCCGGGGUUCAAGCAAUUCUCAUGCCUCAGCCUCCAAGUAGCUGGGGUUACAGGCAUGUGUGACCACUCCCAGCUAUUUUUUUUUUUUUUUUUUUGUAUUUUUAGUAGAGACAGGGUUUUACUAUGUUGCUCAGGCUGGUUUCAAACUCCUGACCUCAAGUGAUCCUCCCUUCUCAGCUUCUCAAAGUGCUGGGAUCACACACAUGAGCCACCAUGCCCAGACCUCAGCACUCUUAAAUUUCCAACCAGCAAGGAAGCAACUAGACUGCUCUUUGUGGAUGUCCAACAGUCCUUCAAACUGAACAUAUUCCAAAUGGAAUCCUUGCUUCUCCUCCU
rnacentral:lncRNA from 1 species